GAUGUAGAACGUAGCGAAAUGCGAUAAGUAGUGUGAAUUGCAGAAUUCAGUGAAUCAUCGAAUCUUUGAACGCACAUUGCGCCCUUUGGUAUUCCUUAGGGCAUGCCUGUUCGAGCGUCAUUUACAAAUUCAAGCUCAGCUUGGUGAUGGGUGUCUGUCCCGCCUUUGCGUGUGGACUCGCCUCAAAUGCAGUUGGCAGCUUGGUCCUCGGCUCUAAACGCAGCAGAUUUGCGUCGAGUGUCGUGCGGACGGGCUCUCCAGUAAGCAAAACCCCACAAAUUGACCUCGGAUCAGGUAGGGAUACCCGCUGAACUUAAGCAUAUCAAUAAGCGGAGGA
rnacentral:misc_RNA from 1 species